UACAGAGGUGGCAAGCGUUGUUCGGAAUUACUGGGCGUAAAGGGCGCGUAGGCGGCCAUCUAAGUCAGACGUGAAAUCCCUCGGCUCAACCGGGGAACUGCGUCUGAUACUGGGUGGCUUGAAUCCGGGAGAGGGAUGCGGAAUUCCAGGUGUAGCGGUGAAAUGCGUAGAUAUCUGGAGGAACACCGGUGGCGAAGGCGGCAUCCUGGACCGGCAUUGACGCUGAGGCGCGAAAGCCAGGGGAGCAAACGGG
rnacentral:rRNA from 1 species